rnacentral:rRNA from 1 species
AGUGACGCGUGGGUGACGUACCUGUUGGUGGGGAAUAACUGCCCGAAAGGGUGGCUAAUUCCGCAUAAGUCCUUCGGUUCAAUCUGAAGGGGAAAGCUUCGCAAGAGGCGCCGAUGGAGCGGCCCGCGUCCGAUUAGCUCGUUGGUGGGGUAACGGCCUACCAAGGCGACGAUCGGUAGCUGGUCUUAGAGGAUGAUCAGCCAGACUGGGACUGAGACACGGCCCAG